AUGCAUAGUUUGUCUUCAGCACGACAGCACCCACGCAGUGAAUGCACGGUCCUGCUUCACCCCGGCCCCUCUCUCCACUCCGCCUCUCGAUCAUACACCCCUUCACACGCCGUGCCAUCGCUGCCUCCGACAGCGAAACCCAGGCGGCGACACACGGGCCUCCCGCUCUCCUUCCUGGAGCGGCAUCUGGCUAAAUCUGCAGACGAAAACCUGCAGAGAAGCUCUCGCCAAGCAAACACCAAACCAGGGCAGACAGGCUGGAUCCUCAGCCCCAGCCCGGUGGCGCCUGUUGUUCACAGCGCGUCCGCGUCCUGCCAACGCACUGAGACAGACCCGGAGUACAUUUCCGACUUGGCGAAGGCAGCACAAAGAUGGUCCCUAUGCAGCCCAGGCACCAAGGGGACGUCGGGGGUCGCGGACGGAGGGACGCGCCUGCCCCGGGUCCAGGUCCUCAGAAGUCCGGCGCUGAGCGGCUGGCGCCGUGUCCGCCGUUGCACCCCCGCUGCCAGCCCGCUGCCCGCCCACAGGGACCGGGGGACACCGGACACGCGGCCGGCUGCGCGGGUAGGACCCAUGCGCACGGAGCUCGAGCGAGCACCGUUAUCCUCCUGGAAUCCCGUGGUAAACGUGGGUUCGAAUCGGGCUUCCCCGGCGCCGAGACGCGCGCCAGCCUGGAGACGGGUACACCACCCCGGCAUGGGGGAACCUCCGGGAAAACGUGCCGCUCGGCCGGGCACUCUUGGCCCUGCCUUUGACAGCCAGAGAGGUCCGGAUGAGCGGAGGAGCAGCUGGUGAACAAGGACUGGGAGAGCGCGGGAGUACCCACGCCCGACGACUCGGAGGUCGAGCUGACUGGGGACGCAGGAGCCGUAGCCGUUCGGGAGCUGGACACCAGGAGGACCUUGUGCAACAUCCAGGGAGCCGCCCUGGAGGCCAUUCCUCCCCUAACCGUGCAGGCUGCGGUGGAGGAGGGAGUGGGGCUCCGGAGAGGCCUGCACCGAGACUUCAUGGAUUACAUGGGUGCCCAGUAUUCAGAUUCUGAAGAACCGCCUUCAUGGAGAAGGUGCGUGUCCAGGUUACCUGCCUGGGACACCUCGCACCUGAUGGAGCUGAGACUGACUAGGGGCCGAGGACUCAUCCACGUGUUCCCCCGCCUGUGCUGACGGUUGGGGAGAGGAAGCUAACUGGUUGCAGGGUCCCAAUGCACUGGGAGGCCGGAGAGAACACCCCUCAGCUUUCUUAGAGGAGAGGCACUGAUAAAGCAUGCUUCCCUGGAUCCCAGUGCAGUAGAGGGACACACCAUUCUUGAGGAGGGGUUUGUUACUCAGUCAGCCCCUGAGAGGGAAGGGGGCUGCGGAGGACGCUUUUGUCCUGGAUGGCUGGCUUGAGAUGCUGGUGGGAGUGGCCUCCUCAGUGUUUGGGACCCUGGCUACGGGGAGGCCAAGGGCAGAGGGCAGAGAGAGGAGAGGGGACGGCUGCCUCUGCUGCAGCAGUGGGAGAGGCAGACCCUGGGUCUGGUUCUCGGGGCCCCGGGAGGGGUGGUGCUCAUCCAGUGCAUUUGUCUGCUGCCGCUGUCGGGGCCAGGCCACCUCGGGAGGGACUGCCCUGGGAGGCCCCUGGGCCAUGCCCUGACUGUGGGGGUGGCCACUGGAGGUCAGGCUGCCCUCUGGAGCAGGGGCCUCAGGGCUCAGACCCCUCCUACCAGCUGGUCCGGCAGGAAUGAAGGGACCCAGGGCAUCCUCUGCCUUCUCCCUCUGGCUGGACCAUUGUCUCCAAGGAUGAGCCCCGGGAAAUCAUGACUGUAGAGGAAAAAGUGGACAGCCCGUCGCUGGACACUGGUGCUGGUUUCUCGGUCCUUCUUUCCAGUCCUGGCCUUCCUUCUAGCCAUUAGACCUCAGUGAGGGGAGUCACUGCUGAGGAGGUAAUCUGCUAUUUUUUGCAACCCUGGGGCUGUAACUUCGUGUUGGAUCUUUCUUGCUAUCUUUGUUUUCCUGAGAAGCCACUUUGAGGAUGCCAACAUGUACUGCAGCAGCCGUUGAUGAUUUCCUCCCAAUCUGCCCAUAACUCUGUAAUGUUCGUAUUGUUCCUAUGCUAUUUCAUAAAUGGAUGUAUGUUUGUUACUAUGUGUUAUCAACAACCAUCAAGAAUAAUCAAUGAUUAUUUGAUUGAUCACUCAUGUAUAGCUCUAUUUGUUUUCUUUCCCUAGAGACCACUCUGGAGAAUCCAAGCUAUAGUGUAACUACCAUUGACAAUUUCCUGCCAUUUUUGUCUAUAAUUCACUAUUAUUUGUCUAUUUGUUUUCCUGAGAAAUAUCUUGAAGAUACCAAUAGGUAAAAUAACAGCCAUUGAUAAUGUCCUACCACUUUGUCUAUAAUUAGGGGGAUUCACCGAUUGCUACGUUGUCCUUCUUUUACUCUUUAAAAUAAAAUAAAAUUUUUUUAAAAAUGGGCUUCCCUCACCGCCAAG
rnacentral:lncRNA from 1 species